AUCGAACGCUGGCGGCAGGCCUAACACAUGCAAGUCGAACGAGUGGCGGACGGGUGAGUAAUGUCUGUGAAACUGCCUGAUGGAGGGGGUUAACUACUGGAAACGGUAGCUAAUACCGCAUACCAUCGGAUGUGCCCAGGUGGGAUUAGCUAGUAGGGGGGGUAAAGGGUCACCUAGGCGACGAUCCCUAGCUGCUCUGAGAGGAUGACCGGCCACACUGGAACUGAGACACGGACCAGACUCCUACGGGAGGCAGCAGUGGGGAAUAUUGCACAAUGGGCGCAAGCCUGAUGCAGCCAGGCCGCGUGUAUGAAGAAGGCCUUCGGGUUGUAAAGUACGUUCAGCGGGGAGGCGUUACCCGCAGAAGAAGCACCGGCUAACUCCGUGCCAGCAGCCGCGGUAAUUC
rnacentral:rRNA from 1 species